UACGGGGGGGGCAAGCGUUGUCCGGAAUUAUUGGGCGUAAAGAGCUCGUAGGCGGUUUGUCGCGUCGAAUGUGAAAACCCGGGGCUCAACCCCGGGCCUGCAUUCGAUACGGGCAGACUAGAGUUCGGUAGGGGAGUCUGGAAUUCCUGGUGUAGCGGUGAAAUGCGCAGAUAUCAGGAGGAACACCGGUGGCGAAGGCGGGACUCUGGGCCGAUACUGACGCUGAGGAGCGAAAGCGUGGGGAGCGAACAGG
rnacentral:rRNA from 1 species